rnacentral:rRNA from 1 species
GACGAACGCUGGCGGCGUGCUUAACACAUGCAAGUCGAACGGAGUGGCGAACGGGUGAGUAACACGUGGGUGACCUGCCCUGCACUUCGGGAAAUGCCUGGGAAACUGGAUCUAAUACUGGUUAGUGGGGGAUGGGACCGCGGCCUAUCAGCUUGUUGGUGGGGUAAUGGCCUACCAAGGCGGCGACGGGUAGCCGGCCUGAGAGGGUGGACGGCCACAUGAGGACUGAGACACGGCCCAGACUGCUACGGGAGGCAGCAGUGGGGAAUAUUGCACAAUGGGCGGGAGCCUAAUGCAGCGACGCCGCGUGGGUAAUGACGGCCUUGCGGUUGUAAACUCCUUUCACCAUCGACGCGGUAGAUGGAGAAGAAGCACCGGCUAACUACGUGCCAGCAGCCGCGGUAAUAC